GCUCAGGAUGAGAUCACAUAGGGAGAGACUUGGGGUGCUACUUCUAUAAUUUUAGUACAGAGAAAAAUUUCCUCCAAAGAUUCCCAUUUACUAAGUUCGGGGUGGAGACUUCAAUCUGCAUUUCUAUUAAACUGUCCGGAUGACUCUCAGCCCUGUACCGCUUUGUUAAAUACUGCACUGGAGACAGAAAGUGUGUGAGCCCCGGACAGAGCCGCCCAGCUCUUGCAGUUGGAAGCUGGCCAGAAGAGUCGGAGAAGCUGAAGGCAGAUACCAACCAGGAGAAUGAUCUAUGAAACUGGAACCAGCUUCACAGGAAGAGCGACUGUUAGGAGCUACUGAAGUGCAUUCCAAGGAGCUUCUGAGGAGGCAGACUUUAAUCUGAAGGACUUAAACUGAUGUCGAGCAUUCCUGCAGUACCACGGAGAAGAUACAUGGAGUUCGGAGAAGGCGAGAUCAUCAGCCAGCACCCUACAGAUUGCUAUCUAGCUCACCCGGAACGCCCAGCAGACGGCGAGAGGAAUCCAAGUUAGUCACUCAGAACAGGCAGACUUUUAAAAAGACUGCCAAGAGAUUAGAAACUGCCACAGAAAGCUGAUUUCACACUGUGUGAUAGCAGAGAACUCCGGAGCAACAAGCACAUCUCAGCGUCCGCCUUGGGGACAAGCUACAGAGCUCCAAAGACUUUCUUCACCAAGUAGAGCUGGAGGCAGUCCUUAAAUGAAGGGCUGCACACUGACAACAAGCAGGCACAGCUAAUCAGCAGACGUGUGUGGGAAGGCCAGAUGUAAAGCGCUCCAGGACCUGGAGGUCUGGGGUGAGCCUUCCAAUUCAAUUCAGGAGAUACUGGAAAUCACAACUACCACAACCUUGGGCAAACGCGACACACAGGACCUCAGUGCCCUUUGGGGAGGCCCUGUGCGGCUAAUCAGGGCAGGACUAAGUUGCUCAGGUUGCCAGGCAAUAACACCAUCUAGGGAUUUCAGCAGUCCUGGCUUGCUGUGGAGGGAAGAUGACCGGGAUGCAGAAUUUUCCAUGCCAAAACCACAACAGACCUAGGCAGAUAGGGACAAGUCAGGGACUCAAGGUCACCUUAAAUCCAGAGAGUUAUUUGUUUUGCGCCUUGGGCUUGGGGAACAAAACCCAAUGACAACGUGGGUUUUGUUAAACCCCAUGUUUAACAAAGAGUUGAAAUUAGUAGGUGGGUUUGGGAAAAACAGGCAGCACCUAAGGAAUAACGCAGCCAUUACCAGGACAUUCUUGAGGAGCAGCCGGAGGGUCAGGGCCAUUAACUGACACAGGCAGCUGGUGCACGGCACAAACACAUCUUCUCAGUGUCUCACACCAAACAGCACGGUGACGAUGGAUCAGCAGCCCUUGAACAGACCGUGCUACGAAAUAAGAGAAUUUUCCAGGUGUGGUGGUAUAUAUCUUUAAUC